rnacentral:rRNA from 1 species
UGGGGAAUCUUGCGCAAUGGGCGAAAGCCUGACGCAGCGACGCCGCGUGAGUGAUGAAGGCCUUCGGGUUGUAAAGCUCUGUGGAGGGGGACGAAUAAGGGCCGUCGAAUAGACGGCUCGAUGACGGUACCCCUUUAGCAAGCACCGGCUAACUCUGUGCCAGCAGCCGCGGUAAGACAGAGGGUGCAAACGUUGUUCGGAAUUACUGGGCGUAAAGCGCGUGUAGGCGGCUCGGCAAGUCGGGUGUGAAAGCCCUGGGCUUAACCUAGGAAGUGCACUCGAAACUGCCAAGCUUGAGUUCUGGAGAGGAAGGCGGAAUUCUCGGUGUAGAGGUGAAAUUCGUAGAUAUCGAGAGGAACACCGGUGGCGAAGGCGGCCUUCUGGACAGCAACUGACGCUGAGACGCGAAAGCGUGGGGAGCAAACAGGAUUAGAUACCCUGGUAGUCCACGCCGUAAACGAUGAGUGCUAGGUGUCGCGGGUUUUGACCCC